GAUGAAGAACGCAGUGAAAUGCGAUAAGUAAUGUGAAUUGCAGAAUUCAGUGAAUCAUCGAAUCUUUGAACGCACAUUGCGCCCGCCAGUAUUCUGGCGGGCAUGCCUGUUCGAGCGUCAUUUCAACCAUCAAGCCCCAGGCUUGUGUUGGGGACCUGCGGCUGCCGCAGGCCCUGAAAACCAGUGGCGGGCUCGCUGUCACACCGGGCGUAGUAGAUUUUAUCUCGCUCAGGGCGUGCUGCGGGUCCCGGCCGUUAAAAGCCUUUUUUUACCCAAGGUUGACCUCGGAUCAGGUAGGAAGACCCGCUGAACUUAAGCAUAUCAAUAAGCGGAGGA
rnacentral:misc_RNA from 1 species